rnacentral:rRNA from 1 species
AGUGAACGCUGGCGGUAGGCCUAACACAUGCAAGUCGAACGGCAGCACAGUAAGAGCUUGCUCUUACGGGUGGCGAGUGGCGGACGGGUGAGGAAUACAUCGGAAUCUACUUUUUCGUGGGGGAUAGCGUAGGGAAACUUACGCUAAUACCGCAUACGACCUACGGGUGAAAGCAGGGGAUCUUCGGACCUUGCGCGAUUGAAUGAGCCGAUGUCGGAUUAGCUAGUUGGCGGGGUAAAGGCCCACCAAGGCGACGAUCCGUAGCUGGUCUGAGAGGAUGAUCAGCCACACUGGAACUGAGAAACGGUCCAGACUCCUACGGGAGGCAGCAGUGGGGAAUAUUGGACAAUGGGCGCAAGCCUGAUCCAGCCAUACCGCGUGGGUGAAGAAGGCCUUCGGGUUGUAAAGCCCUUUUGUUGGGAAAGAAAAGCAGCAGGUUAAUACCCCGCUGUUCUGACGGUACCCAAAGAAUAAGCACCGGCUAACUUCGUG